rnacentral:rRNA from 1 species
UACGGAGGGGGCUAGCGUUGUUCGGAAUUACUGGGCGUAAAGCGCACGUAGGCGGAUUGGAAAGUCAGAGGUGAAAUCCCAGGGCUCAACCUUGGAACUGCCUUUGAAACUCCCAGUCUUGAGUUCGAGAGAGGUGAGUGGAAUUCCGAGUGUAGAGGUGAAAUUCGUAGAUAUUCGGAGGAACACCAGUGGCGAAGGCGGCUCACUGGCUCGAUACUGACGCUGAGGUGCGAAAGCGUGGGGAGCAAACAGG